UAAGAGCAGAGAGCCGAGCAGACACACACACUCCCUCAGCAGAAGAGACUAAGAUACAGUUUAGACUACAGUGUCCAGAGCUGCACUGAUCUUUGUGUGAUUUCACCAAGAUGGUCUUUAAUGGUUUGAGCACAAGAUUUCCCAAAAGGAAUAUAUUUCCACACACCUGAUGCAGAAACACUAUUCUUCGAGGAAUUGCCAUCUAAAUGAUAGAGCCUAAAAUAAGGGCUGAAGGUCACCUUUAAUUUACUUCUGGAAGCAGAUUGUGUAAACCAAUAGACAUCCAUGUGUCUCCAUCUGCUGGUGAAGUUCACUUACUGCAGCACACACUCGGGAAUCUGCACGUGCUCCAUGGGGACGAUCUGAGCCAGCUCCUCCAAACUCUGGACGUACCGGAUCUUAUCCAUGAAUUUUACACUGCAGAGUGAUGAAAUGGCAUUAAAAC